GUGCUCACUUAGGCAGCACAUAUGCUAAAACUGAAACCAUAUAGAGAAAAUUAGCAUGGCCCCUGUGCAGGGAUGACACUCAAAUUGGUGAAGCAUUCCAUAUUUUU
rnacentral:snRNA from 1 species